UUCACUACAAACCAGACCUCGCCACCACCAACCCGAUCCCUUGGUUGUUAAGUAGACCUGGCCAUUUCCACAAACCCAACCUUAUCGCCACCUCUCAUUGGUCCGCUCUCUUCUAUGCUAAUUUUUCAUGUGCCAUGGUAAAGGUCGGAGGAGGUGAUGAAGCAAGGGCCGAUAAUCUCUCUAAAAACAAGAGCAUCAGAGAGAUAAAGGUAAAAAUAGCUCGGCUCCGCCAACCACCCAAUAAGACAACCAAAUAAUGGAGAAACGAA
rnacentral:lncRNA from 1 species